rnacentral:rRNA from 1 species
GACGUAGGGCGCAAGCGUUGUCCGGAAUUAUUGGGCGUAAAGAGCUCGUAGGCGGCUUGUUGCGUCGACUGUGAAAAACCACGACUCAACCGUGGGACUGCAGUCGAUACGGGCAGGCUAGAGUUCGGUAGGGGAGACUGGAAUUCCUGGUGUAGCGGUGAAAUGCGCAGAUAUCAGGAGGAACACCGGUGGCGAAGGCGGGUCUCUGGGCCGAUACUGACGCUGAGGAGCGAAAGUGUGGGGAGCGAACAGG